ACACAUUUUCAAGACCUAGACACAACCUAAAAAAAACCUAACACAUCUAAGGGAGCCGUUUCUCAUGAUCUGGAACCAAAAAAAACCCUAAGACCAUCAUCUUCCUCAACCUAACACACCUAGGCCCCUAACCUAGAGGAUCCCUGAGAAAUCAGCCGCAUACGCUCCUUCUUGAACCAGCGAAGAACAGAGCUCCAUCAGCCAUCUCCACCUUUCUUCUUCAACCUUCAGACACCCUAACGCCACUUCCCCUCCGGCCAAACCCAAACAGCCGAAACCCAACCCUUUCCUACAAAAUCUUUGGCAGUCGACCACCCUAGAACGACCAUCUCCACCAAACCAUCAGCCGUUGCCAAUUUCCAAACAUUCAAAAUAGCUGAAACAUAACAAAGAGGGGGGGAUAGAAGAUAGAUUUAGAAAGAAAACAAAAAAUACAGAGCGAGAAAAGGGUUUACAAAUAGAGAACAAAGAGAUGCGAGUUUCAAUCCAUCUCUGUUUUUUGUUAAACCACAAAAAACUUCAGCCUUCUUCAACCAUGAAAGCUGUAAAACCAGCUCUAAGAACGUGAAAACAGUAGCUCAAACCACUGCUCGUCGCCGUGAAAAUAGCGGCGUGUGUGUGCGAUUUUCUGAUUCUCGCCGGAAUUUUAGAUCGACUAUUUUUUAAACUUCCCGGCGAAUUUCGAGAUUGUCCGGGUGAGGUAGUCCAAGGUUUAAAAGCAGAAAAAUCGCUUGCGCCCUUCUUCAAUAACUUGGUAAUUGCUUUCUUAAUUGCUUUAACACCCAUCUUACCGGAGGACGGGGACAAAUAAGCCUCUGAAUUCGCCGGAGUUGGAAAGCGCGAGGGUUAUGAUCUUGAUAUAGCUGAAGUUUGGUAAGUUUUGUUUUGACUUAAUAUAAAGGUUUUCAUAUUUACUUGAUAUAGUUUCACUUAAUUUAAGUAAAGAUUUUCCUGAAUUCAGUAUUUUGGCCUUAGUCUUCGAAGCUAUAUGAUCUUGGAUACUAUAAUUAAGGAAAAUGAAUUAUGCUGGUAAUUAUGUUAAGAGUUGUUAUCUUCAGCAUCUUAAUAUUCAUUCAUUUGAUUAUGUAAUCUUGUUUGAAUUGAACUUCUGUGCAUAUAUUGAUUCCAGUGGUUUCGCAAAUGCUUGAGUCUCUUUUCUAGUGAUUGAAUUUAAAUGCAGUCUUUUACUUUUUGUCCCGCAUAUAUUCAUUGCAAUAGUAGUCUUGGAAAGAAAAUGUGUAGGCAAAGUUGUUUGUUUGAAUUAAUAAAAAUAAAGAAUAUCUUUUCAAUAUUAGUUCCGAUUGUAAAGUAGCCAGUUUAACACUGUUCGCUAAUGAUGUGGGAAUUAGAUUUGAGCAAUUUACAAAAAUGAAGACGUGAAUGGAAUUUGGUGCCGAUUGUUUUUUCAAUUAAAUCUUAUGGAUUUAGUGCUCUGUUAAGUUGACCCAUUUUUCUAUAUUUCAUAUCCCUAAUUCAUAACCUCACAAUAAAUCUCAAAUUAGUUUUAAGAAUAACCAUGAAUUUCGUAGUUUGCUUUAGGCGCGUUAUAAUAAAUCAUCAUAACUACGAGUACGGUUUCCGUGACGUAGUUGUGAUAUGUAAUUCUCAAAUCCGGGUGCACAUUUUAUGUGACCCGACCACAACUUCGAACCAUUAAUAAAUUAAAUAUGUUAUAUAUCAUGGGUACGGUUCCCGUGACACAAUUCACAAUGUGUACAAAACAUACAAGUGUACGACAAUCGUAACUUGUUCCAGAAUAAUUUCAUAAAUAAAUAAAUAAAAGCGGUUAAAAGGUUAAAAAUGCACAAUAGGUAUAAAAAAUGUAAUAAAUCAGAUAAAGAGACCAAUUAUUAAUAGUUGAGCAACCAUGCUAAAAUCACGGAACUCGGGAAUGCCUAACACCUUCUCCCGGGUUAACAAAAUUCCUUACCCGAAUUUCUAUAUUUUGCGGACCAUAAAUAGAGUCAAUCUUCCUCGAUUUGAGAUUUUAAACCGGUGAUUUGGGACACUAUAAAUUAUCCCAAGUGGCGACUCUGAUUUUGAAUAAAUAAUUCCGUUUCGGUUUUGUCACUUUAAUUGGAAAAACUCCCUUAUAUACCCCUUUCGGGUAGAAAAAGGAGGUGUGACAGCUCUGGCAACUCUGCUGGGGACAAGAACCCAGAAUCUCUGGUUCAGGGUUCAAGAAUUCGAGCUUAGAAUAAUUGUUAUAUUUGGCUUUUAUUUAUUAUCUGAUUUUUACUACAUGCUUGGGCCUAAUUAAUGGUGUCUAACAAGCCAGGUUUAACCGUAACUGGACCGGCCUAGACUGGUUAAAAUCAGAACCGGCCCGGACCGGUACAAGGGAGCCGGGUGGGGUUGGGUUAGAGGGGUAGGGGGUUUAAUCCGUUCACCUAUUUUUAACCGGUUACUCGGACCGGUCAAACCCGAUCAUCAGAAAUACUAUAGAACCAGUUAAACUGGCCUGGCCCAGACCAGACCAGCCCGACCCAGACCGGUUAACGACUAAUUUCUUUUUUUUAAAAUUGUUGAUUGGCUUAUUUGGUUACCAUUGGCAACAGUCACCUACCAAGGAGUCGUUGCCCAACGGCUGAUUUGCACAAUUAGCCCUUUUUUGGGAUUUAUUUUCAAAAAAUUAACACUUUUUGUAAUUACAAAUUUAACCCUUUUGUAAAACUAUAAAUACACCCCCUCUCUUCUUAUUUCUUCACUCACUCUCAUUUCUCAAUCUCAAUUUCUCAAUUCAAGUUAAAUCAUGCUCCGUACUUCUAGAGUGCGCUCAUAUGUUUGGGAACACUUUGAGGUGGUAGAAAAAAAUGAAGUUCACAAAGUAAAGUGCAAGAAUUGUGGUCGAGUCUUAAAUCUUCGUCCAAAGUGUGGCACAGGCUGUUUAGGGAGGCAUAUGAAGAGUUGUCUUGAGCGUCCUCUAAAAAUUCGUAUUUAAGUUGAUUUGAGACAAUUUGUGUUAUUUUAAAAUUAUUAUACGUAUUUAUGCUUAAUGUUUUAGUUUGUUAGAUUAAUUUGAAGUAUUGUUAUGCAUGAAAAUUUAGUUUUACUUUUUUUUCCGUUAAUUUACUUGUUAAAUGCAAACAUCCAUUUGUAAUUUUGAAAUAAAUGUAGCACUUGCAAUUUAUAAGUGCAAUUUUUCCCAUCUUCAUUUUAUUCUUUAUAUUAAUAUAACUUACAAUAGUUAUACAAAAUACAAAAAAUGUAACGACCCGACCGGUCGUUUUGAGCUUUAGCACUUCGCUCGCUAGUUCUCGGGCAUGACUAGCACCGUGCGGUGUAUUAUGACUUAUAUAAAUCGUCGAUUUUGGUUUUCAGGGUAAUCAGAAUGAAUUUGGAAGAACAGUUCUCAGUCUGAAGCUUAAAAUUUGAAAGGUUGACCAAGUUUUGACUUGUUAGUAUAUGAUCUCGGAUUGGAAUUUUUAUGAUUUUGUUAGCUCCGUUAGGUGAUUUAGGACUUAGGAGCAUGAUCGGAAUGUAUUUUGGAGGUCCGUGGAAGGUUAAGGGUUGAAUUGGCGAAAUGGGCUUUUUGGCAUUUUUCAGUUGAUAGGUGAGAUUUUAAUAUAGGGGUCGGAAUGGAAUUCCGGAAGUUGGAGUAGGUCCGUUGUGUUAUUUGUGACGCAUGGGCAAAAUUUCAGGUCAUUCGGACGAGGUUUGAUAGACCUUUUGAUCGAAUUCAGAAUUCAGAAGUUUUUGGAAUUCUUAUGCUUGAAUCCGAUGUGAUCUUAGUGUUUUGAUGUUGGUUUGAGCGUCCCGAAGGUUGGAUCAAGUUUGAAUGAUGAUAUGAGAUAUGUUGGCAUAUUUGGUUGAGGUCCCGAGAGCCUCGGGUGAGUUUCAGGUGGUUAAACGGAUCAAAUUCUUGUUUUGAAAGUUGCAGAUUUCUUCAGAUCAGUGUUGCAGAGUUUUGCUCUUCGUGUUCGCGAGAGGGCCCUCGCGUUCGCGAAGAGAUGUUGAGUGAGUCAGGCCAGUUACCCUUCGCGUUCGCGAUGUUGGUCCCGCAUUCGUGAAGGUUGAGUCUAAUUGUGCAUCGCGAACGCGUGGCAUGGUUCGCGUUCACGUAGAAGGGUGAAGCAGACUUGGGCACCUGGCCCUAAAGCAUCGCAUUUGCGACUGAAGAAACGUGUUCGUGUAGGCUGAGCUGAGUAAGGCAUCGCGUUCGCGAGGGUAGUGUUCGCGUUCGUGUAAGAGGAAAUUUGAGCUCUGAAUUAUUUUUUCUUCGCGAACGCGAGGCUUUUACAGCGUUCGCGAAGAAGGAAUUUUUGGCUUCAGCAGAAUGUUUAAAUAGCCAUGUUCGCGAUUUUUGGUCUAUCUUUCACCAUUUUUGAGCGAUUUUGGAGCUUUUUGAGUAGGAUUGAAGAGGGAAUCAAAGGGAAACACUUGGAGGUAAGAUUUUUGAACUCAAUACUCUAUCCUAUGUUGAUUCUUACUUGUUUAAACAUGAAAUUUGUGGAAAUUAAAGCCUAAAAUUAGGAAAGGGCUUGAAAUUGGAAAAGUAUAAAUUGGGGAUUUGAGGGGCCAUUUGAUGUUCGAUUUUGAUGUUCUUGGUAUGUAUGGACUCGUGAGAGGAUAUGGAUUUUAUUGAUUUAAUUUUUAUUGGAUUCCGAGACGUGGUCUCGUGGGUCGAGUUUGGCCAAUUUCAGGAUUUUUGCUAUAAAUUGGUUAUUUUCGAGUGGGCUUUAUUUCCUUAGCAUAUUUUGAUGGUAUGAAUCUGCUUUUGGCUAGAUUUGGAAAAUUCGGAGGCCGAGUUGAGAGGCAAAGGCAUCACGGGCUAGAGUUUGGACCAGAUCGAGGUAAGUAAUGAUUGUAAAUAUUUGUCCUGAGGGUAUGAAACCCCGAAUUUUCACAUCUUUGUGCUAUAUUGAGGUGACGCACACGCUAGAUGACAAGCGUGGGGGCGUGCACCGUUGGGGAUUGUGACUUAGUCCGUCCCGUAUGACUGUUUAACCGCAUAUUUGAUUGAAAACUGUUUGCUAUCAUCAUUUUUUGGGCUGAAUGCCAUAUUUGGGCCUCGUGCCAACUGUUUUGGACCCUUAGGGGAUUUUUACUACUAUUCCUCACUGUUUUGACUUCAUAUUUGCUCUCAGUCAUGCUGUAUUCUACUGUUUACAUAACUCAGCCAUAUUUACUCUGUUUUGACAUUUGAAAUAAUAUUUUGGGCUGAGCAUCAUGUUUUAUUAUGCCCAAGUGGCUUUGAGAGAUUUCUGACUAAGUGAGGUCGAGGGCCUAUGUUGUGAGGAUAUUAUGGGAUCGGGAUGCGCGCCACAUCAGUGUGGUACUGAUUUAAGAUUAUGAGGCCGAAGGCCUGAUUUGUUACGCCACGAGGUGGCUUGAUAUGAGGCUGAGAGCCUGUUUGAUUAUGCCAUGAGAUGGCUUGUUAUUGCGCUUGGGCCGUAAGGGGCCCUCCCAGAGUCUGUACACCCCUAGUGAGCGCGGGUACCCUGAGUGAGUGAUAUAUUGAUUAUGCCAUGAGAUGGCUUGUUAUUGCGCUUGAGUCCUACGGGGCCCCUCCUGGAGUCUGUACACCCCCAGUGAGCGCGGGUACAUAGUGUGAGAUGUGGUAUAGCCCGAGGGGCUGAUGUUGUUCUAUUUUAUUGCCUGAGGGGAGGUUCUUGAUUUAUGUUAUGCCCGAGGGGCUGAUUACGAGUGAUUGUGAGGUAGCCCGAGGGGCUGGUUCUGUUAAUAUUAUGCCCGAGGGGCGGUUUAUGGUACAUGUUUUGCCCGAGGGGCUGUUUACAUUUCUAUCAUGUUUACUCACUAUUUUUUCACUCGUUUGAAACUAUUGAAAAUUUGUUUUAAAAGGUUUUACCAAAACUGAGCAUGAUUUAUGAAGUAAAUGAUUUCUGUACUGUGUUGGAAAUAUCCUGCAUUUGUUGUAGCGUUUGACGUGGCUUACGUAUUUUCUUACUGCUCAACUUUCAUUUACCUUUAUUACUUAUUUAGUUGGAGUACUCACAUUACUCCCUGCACCUUGUGAGCAGAUUCAGGUAUUUCAGAACCCGGUAGCAGGUGUUGAUUGUUCAGUGGUAGAGUCAUCGGAGUUAGAAAGGUAGCUGCCCGACGUCCGCAUCACUGCUUUUCUCCCUCUUGUUUUCAUUAGACUGUAUUUAGUACAUUUUCAGAAUUUUUUGUUGUAUUCAGACCUUAGUUGAUGCUCGUGACUUGUGAGACCGCGAUGUUGGGCUUAUGUAUUUAUUCCGCACUAAUCAUUUAGACUUACAUUAUGAGAUAUCUGAUUAAUUAAAGGCUUAAAAAUGAUUAUUAUUAAUUAAAUAGUUAAUUCGGGAGUUGUGUCGGCUGGCCUAGUUUCACGAUAGGUGCCAUCACGACCGGGUUACUUUUAGGGUCAUGACAAGUUGGCAUCAAAGCCUAGGUUUUAUAGGUCUCACGAGUCAUGAGCAGGUUUAGUAGAGUCUCGCGGAUCGGUACGGAGACGUCUGUACUUAUCCUCGGGAGGCUGCAAAACCUUUAGGAAAAACUUCACAUUCUUGAAUUCUUAUCGUGCAUCCUUGAUUCAGCUUGAAAUGUAACUCUUUGAAUUCCUUCCAUGCGUUCGUACACGCGCAUGAGCGCUCGAUAUCAGUUGUGCAUCAACGGCUUGUGAUUUCCUGAUCGAGGGGUGAGAUAUGAUUUAUGUGUCUUGAUGUUGGGCCAGUAUGGAGGACUUGAGGCCGAGUUUUGCCUGUAGCUUGAGCACUGAGGCGUUGAUUAUGUGAGUACGUGCUUUUGGAUUCAUGUUUUCGGUAGUAUCCCUAUUAGUGGAAGUGAUGGCUGGAUGGCUAUGUGAUGAGUAUGAUGUGACUGCUAGAUGUGUUCAUACGAUUUGAAUGAGAUGAGAAUGGCGUGCUUGGUGAUGAGUGGUGAUGUUACCACUCAUUCUAGUCUCUUUUCUUUAGCUUUUAUGUCCUUUAACUAUAAUAUGAGGUCGUUUAUGGUGUGUAUUGCUAGAUUUUCAGGUAAAUGAUGCCAUGAAAUGAUUUGAAUUCAAUUGGAGUGGAAUUGAACAAAAGGGGUGAAAACCAUGCAAAACUCCCAUGUGAUUCCGCAUCUGCGGAAGGUUGGUCUCAUAACCCUGCUUCUGCAUGAAAAGUCCCGCUUCUGCAAAGUUGUCUGACCUUGCAAGAAACUGCAUCUGCGGUUAGAUUACUGCUUAUGCUGUUGCGCAUCUGCGCCGGGUAAACCACAUCUGUGGUGAUAGAGUUUAGUUGACAUUUCGCUUCUGCGAUGGGAUCUCCGCAUCUGGGGAGCCGCACCUGCGAGGAUUCUUCCGCAGGUGCGGUCAACAGACCUGGGCAAUUCAGGCAUUUCAUAUGUUCUCAACUUCAAACUAUUUUUAUACACGACCUAGCAGAUAUUUUGAGGAUCUUUGACUUAUUUUCAGUUCUUAGAACUAGAGAGAACAGGUGGAAGCUAGGGUUUUGC
rnacentral:lncRNA from 1 species